GUGGUACUGGGUACAUACCCGAUAGGUCUCGAUUGCUGGAAUGCAUCGAGAUAAAAGCUCCGGCGCCUAAGGAUGGGUCUGCGGCCUAUCAGGUAGUAGUUGGUGUAGCGUACCUACUAGCCUACGACGGGUACGGGUUGUGAGAGCAAGAGCCCGGAGAUGGAUUCUGAGACACGAAUCCAGGCCCUACGGGGUGCAGCAGGCGCGAAAACUUUACAAUGCUGGCAACAGCGAUAAGGGAACCUCGAGUGCCAGGUUACAAAUCUGGCUGUCGAGAUGCCUAAAAAGCAUUUCAUAGCAAGGGCCGGGCAAGACCGGUGCCAGCCGCCGCGGUAACACCGGCGGCUCGAGUGGUAACCGUUAUUAUUGGGUCUAAAGGGUCUGUAUCCGGCCGGAUAAGUCUCUUGAGAAAUCUGGCAGCUUAACUGUCAGGCUUUCAGGAGAUACUGUCUGGCUCGAGGCCGGGAGAGGUGAGAGGUACUUCAGGGGUAGGGGUGAAAUCUUGUAAUCCUUGAAGGACCACCAGUGGCGAAGGCGUCUCACCAGAACGGAAGAGAGGGGCUGGAAGGAAGGGAAGGGGGGCACAACCGGAUUAAAUACCCGGUAAUCCUAACCGAAACGAUACUCUCUAGGUGUCGGCCACGGUGCGACGUUGUCGGUGCGUAGGAAGCCGUGAAGUGAACCCCCUGGGAUGUACGGCCCGAAAGCUGAACUUAAAUGUAUUGGCGGGG
rnacentral:rRNA from 1 species